UGAGCACCCUCUUCUGUAUUUGU
rnacentral:misc_RNA from 1 species